CUGGCGGCGUGCUAACACAUGCAAGUCGAACGCGAAAGUCCCGCAAGGGAUUAGUAGAGUGGCAAACGGGUGAGUAACGCGUGGGUGACCUGCCUUCGAGUGGGGGAUAACGUUCCGAAAGGGACGCUAAUACCGCAUGACAUCCUGCUUUUUAAGAAGUGGAGAUCAAAGCCGGGGAUCGCAAGACCUGGCGCUUGAAGAGGGGCCCGCGUCCGAUUAGCUAGUUGGUGGGGUAAUGGCUCACCAAGGCAACGAUCGGUAGCCGGCCUGAGAGGGCGGACGGCCACACUGGGACUGAGACACGGCCCAGACUCCUACGGGAGGCAGCAGUGGGGAAUUGUUCGCAAUGGGCGCAAGCCUGACGACGCAACGCCGCGUGGAGGAUGAAGAUCUUCGGGUCGUAAACUCCUUUCGAUCGAGACGAAUGGCCUCUGGGCUAAUCACCAGGGGAAUGACGGUACCGAGAGAAGAAGCCCCGGCUAACUCCGUGCCAGCAGCCGCGGUAAUACGGGGGGGGCAAGCGUUGUUCGGAAUUACUGGGCGUAAAGGGCUCGUAGGCGGCCAACUAAGUCAGACGUGAAAUCCCUCGGCUUAACCGGGGAACUGCGUCUGAUACUGGAUGGCUU
rnacentral:rRNA from 1 species